rnacentral:lncRNA from 1 species
CCAAGAUGACCCAGUGGCAUCUCCACUACGUGCUGGAGACUGAGAGGCUCAGGACAGUGCCUGAAGUUCAUUCACCCUCAGGCUACGUCUUCAGGGACUCUGAUCUGCUACUAAAACCAAGCCCCAGGGAGUGAAGGUCCCUGCCAUGUCAUCCCUCUGAUCUCCUCCCUGUGAGGGCAAAGAAAACUACUGGGUGUUGAUCAUCCAGCACCGGUAGAACCUGCAGUCAGCUCUUAGACUCCAGUAUAAUUGUGAAGUGUGCUGCAGCAAACAGAAAAAUAAGUCAAUGCAGAGCUUCCAACACCAUCAGCUCACUGUGGUUCUGCCUUCAUGGGCCAGUAACUCAGCCAAAGCCUGGAGAUUCUGGAAACUGCCUCCAUUGCCUUUGCUGUCCCUGCCCCUCUGCUGGAAGUCGCCCACAGGUGCCAGCUGGG